rnacentral:tRNA from 1 species
GAGGUAUUAGUAAAACUAUUACAUAAUCUUGUCAAGAUUAAAUCAUGGACUAAACACCCAUAUACCUCU